GCUACACUGUCACCUGUGCUCCUUUGUCAUGUCACUGCUUCCUGAUCUGUCCCUGCUGUGGCUGUAGGCUAGCGUUUGUUGCCCUAAGGAGACUGUCGUCGCCCCUCCUUCCCUGGGAGGUGAUUUUGUUCCCUUAAAUGUCCCAUCUCAGUGGUGCUUUCAUCCGUCAGGAGAGCAGCAGACCCCAGACGUUUGAUGCCUGUCUGAGCAGCAGAAGAAGCAGAAUCCCUCCUCCUGUCCUCUCACGUGACUUUACUGUGUCCUUGUCAAAGUGGAAAUAUGAAAUGUUACAGAGUGUUGUGUGCAUGCUUGAAAAUGUCAGAGAUACAACAGCUUGUCGCACACUGAUCUGCAAAAACCUGGUGGAAGAUUAGCGAAGAUUCAAAAACAGUUUUCUUAAAAAAAAUUUUUUUUAAAAGA